rnacentral:lncRNA from 1 species
UUUUUUAAGUGUGCCUCCACUUAUAUAAUAUAUUGUACUACCCAAAUUCUGAAUAAGUAAAAGAUCUCUCCGAAAAAUACAUAUGCAUGUUUUAUUCAAAAGGUAAGGAAUGAUGCGUCAUCAUCCCUAAUACACUUUAUUAUAGUAGUAGCAUCAAUUGAGGCAGAGAAGUUAAUUAGAUGCUGUCCUUAAUGGAUGCACUAUAACCGUUGUCAUAGAACCUGUUCCAAAGCAUAACUCCUCCGUACUUGGGCGAAUUCUUAAUCGUUGGAAGAACUUGUGACUUGAGAGCGUCAGCAGGAAUAAAUCCGCCGCUCGGAGCGGCCUCAGGAGCUGCCGGUAACCCCAUGAACACCUGGGUGGCCGGAACCGAGGCCCAUUGGUUCCAACUGCUCAAAAGAGCGUCGGCAUUACCGUCCGCAUACUGGCAUUGGGGGUUGUUGUAGAACUGGACCCAAACGUAGUCAAAUAAACCGGUUUGGAUAGCGCCGUCUAGGUGAGCAUCCGGGAUCGGACAUUGUGGAGCUGCGGCUAAAUAGACCGUUUUUGCCUGUCCGUUGUGUCCGUUGAGUGACUUGGCGAGCUCAUCAUAGAACUGCGCACCACCCGCCUCAAUGUCGAAAUCAACGCCGUCCAAAACCGCGUCCCCAAGCGGGCGCGAAGCUGACUGACCACCUAAGAAGUUGUUCCAGAUGUAAUCAGCAACUUGCCUUGCAUCAUCAGCUGAAGUGAGAGAGUAACUUCCGGCGGCCCCUCCAAUCGAGAGGAGGACUUUUAUGUUUUUUGAUUGGCAGGUUCUGAUGUCGGCACUCAGCCCGGUGCAAGUACCACUAGCGGGGUCGCAGUGGCCGGCGAGGUUUAGGACAGGGGUUUGGUUGUUUCCGAAAGUAGUGAGGAAAGCUAUGUUAACAAACUGGUAGUUGCCUGAGUUGCAAGCAUCUGCUAGGGUUCCUUCGUUUCCGUUUUGGCCCCAAUAGACCGCAAUUCCGGCGGCUUGGGAGGACUUGCAUGAAGAAAUGAGGAUCAAGAGGGACAGCGUUAGGGCUAGGGUUUGUGUUUUGGAUGCCAUUUUUAUAUGUUUUUUUGGGUUGUUGUUCAAAGUGCUUGGGAGUGGACAUGUACUUAUAGGUGCAGGGGACUUAUCGGUUAAGGUUUAGGGGAAGAAAAGUAUGACAGACGUGUUCUGCAGGUAAGAGUCUUCUGCUUGCAACCGCGUCAAUCACGUUAGGGCCUGUUUAUUUAGUCCAAGUUUCACUUUACAACUUAGAACACGUCAAUUAAAUUAGGUCGGGUUGAAAAUGCAUUUUCCAAAACCACUUUCACACAUAAGCGCUUCUUAUAUUUUCAUAAAAAUGCAAGUGGUUUUAUAAAAAAAAAAACUUGAGGUGUUUGGCGUGUGUUUUUUCAGAAAGCACUUAAAAUAUUUUUUCAACCUAAAAUCACUGAAUUUUUUAUGAUUUCAAAGUUCUUUUAAUUGUUUUGAAGGCACUUCCAACUGAUAUUUUAUAAAAAAUUACUUCUAGAGAGAAUUAUAGCAUGCUAAUUGAGAGAUUCCGAAACUAAAAAGCCAUCAAAUUUGCCAAAAAAAAAAUCUGAUGAGACAAUACGUGGAGAAUCAACACAGCUGUAUCAUCACCAAAAAUUUUCAGUGUGCAGAAAUACAGUCCGGUACAAAGUGUUAUAAUAAAAUUGGUUGAUUUUUUUUUUUAAGUUUCCAACUAAUUAUAUUAUUACACUUGAUGUACCGAUCCGUAUUUCUGAAAAAUCUCUCCUUACCAUCACAUCACAUGAAUGUUUUGGAAAGUUCGUAGAUAGAAACCAAAAUCUCUCCUUAUCAUCACAUCACAUCACAUGAACGUUUGGGAAGCUCGUCGAUAGAAACCAAAUGGAAUAUGCUUUUAGCUGAGGAUGGCCAUUGGCCAGGGACUUCGGUCUAAUCACGAUGCUUUAAUUUCGCAGUCGGAAAAAAACUUUCGAAUAAAAUUUAGGGUAUAUUUAGGAAGUGUUUUUAAAUGAUUGAAAACAUUUUUAGAAAUAUUUUUUUUUAAAAACGUUUCCAGUCAUUUAAAAAAACUUCUUAAACGAGUUUAAUUACUUGUGUAUGGGGCAACAUUUAGCUAGUAAUGGUUCUCAUGAAUUGGAUUGUGGUGAUGUGAAAAUGGGUUUGGGUUAGUUUAGUUUAGAGUUUAUAUUUACUAUCCGGUGCAUGCAAAUGGAAUGUCAAAUCUUUCAGAGAAAUUUUGAUAGAACUGCCACUUAGGGCAACACAUAUUAAACAAACAAAUGUAGGGUUGGAGAAGACUAAAAUACAUGAAUUCUCGUGUUUUCAUAAAUGUGAUCUAAAAAUAAUAUAGCAUGUGCCCUGAGAACAACGUGAUCAGUACCUAAUCGAAGUUCUCUAGUGUGGAAAGAUUCAAGAGGGGUGUGACGCUUCCGACAAAUAAAAAAUCACACAUUUUCGAAUUCGGAAAUGUAUAGAACAGAGCAGAUAUCACUAGAUGAAUGUUAACUGUUUUACAGAAAAUUUAUAAGACAAUUAGAGUUAAACAACAGAAGCUUGCACUUUAAAUGGUUAUGUCCAGCUGCUUUUGGUAUGUAUAUGCUUUUUCCAUGUCUCGAUGUAGUUCCAGUUCACUGCUCAUCAUCCUGGAACAAUGCUUUCGAAACAGAGCCGCACGGCUGGCUACUGUAUUCUCGGUAAUCUUCAUCGUCAUCACAGCUGCGUUGCGAGCAUGAACGUUUGAUUCCUGUCAUUGGGGUUUCACAGACUCUGUCAUCGCAUGAACCUCUAUGAUCCUUCCUUUUAAACAGCUUUCGAAGCGGAUUUGACUUUGGUUUCAAUGGUUUCAGCCGUUUGGGGGCCCAAACUCUCUGCAGAUCGGGCAUCCAUCUUGUGGAUGAAGCGAAUCUCCAAGCCCUCUCUCUCCUCUCUUGAGCUUCAAGUAACUUGCGAGCAUGGUCGUCCUAUUGUUUGAUCUCUUCGACGCUUGGUCUUCCAAUAUCAGUUUUCAGCGGACGAAGAGACUCACCUUCUGCUUGUAAUGAGUCCCAGAUUCUAUAACUUCCAUCCACUUCGACACUCUUCGGUUUUUCUUUACAGGAUCGAUUGCUAUCCUCACUGUUGAGUAAACUAUUAGGGAGUUCUUCCUCAUCAGCAAACAGUAACAAAUCCAUUUUCGUAUAGAUUUUGUGAACCACAUCUUCAAGUGUCUCACAGUACCUGAAAAAUGUCCAAAUUCAGGCUCUUGACAAUUUGACAAAGCAUUUCAUUGAAAAGGUUCAAUCCUUACUACCAUUAUAAUUUAUAAUGUGUUGUAUGGUUUACCUCGUAAUGGUGCUAAGUUAUUUCUACAGUUUUGGGGCAUUUUUUUUGCAGUUUCGGUGCAAUUUUGAUGCAGUUCUUUUUUUUUGCAAUUUUGCUGCAUUGUUGUUGCUGUUUUUGCUGCAUGUUCAUUGAUUAAUAAAAAGGUCGUACCCAGUGCACAAGGCUCCCUUGAUUAAUAUAUGAGAAAAAUAAGACUGUCAUAUGCUUAAAUAGGUGUAUAUUUUAAAUUAUACAUUUUUUUUUCAAAAAUCGAACCGAAACUGUUUGAAACCGUACCGCACCAAACCAAACGGUUUGGUUUCAUUUCAGUUUUGGCUUCAAAACUGCACCGAACCGCACCGCAAAAAAAUUUGGUUUCGGUUGCGGUUUCACUCGAAACCGCACCGAAGCGCACCGCGCCCACCCCUACAGGGGACUUGUCGAUGAAGGUUUAGGGGAAGAGAAGUAUGACAGACGUGUCUUGCGGGUACAAAAUGGGUGCCAGUCUUCUGCAUGCAUGGAACCGCGUGAACCAAGUUAGGGCCUGUUUAGUCCAAGUUUCACUUGACAACUUAGAAAUUUGUCAAUUAAGUUAGGUCGUGUUGGAAAUUCUUUUUUCAAAAACCACUCAUAAGUGCUUUUAAUAUUUUUCGUAAGAAUGCAAGCGUUUUUAGAAAACACACUCAAGGUGCUUAGCGUGUGCUUUUUUUUAGAAAGCACUUUUAAGUGUUUUUUCAACCUAAAAACACUUGUUUUAAAGACACUUCCAACAAACACAUAAUUAAUGGAAAAUUACUUCCAGAGAGAAAUAUAGCAUGCUAUUUGAGAGAUUCCAAAACUAAAAGCUAAAUAGUUAUUAAGCGUGACCUUAACCAAGGUGAAAUAAAAUAUCAAAUUUGACAAACAAUCUGAUGAACGUCAUAGCUAUAUGUAUAGUCAGUAGAUGAGAUAAUCAUGAAACAAAACGUGGAGAAUCAACACAGCCUUAUCAUGGCCAAAAUUUGUCUGUGUGCCAGAACCACGGCCUAGUACACUAAAAGUGUCAUAAUAGAAUUGGUUGGAAAUUCAUUCGGUUACAACUGACUCUGAAGUCUUUAUUUCUGCACAACCACAUAGUGAGAUGUUUGCUUACCAUGCAACCAUGAUGUCCAAUACUCUUGGUACCUCAAUCGUUGUCUUUACCAAAACUGGUUUUAUGGCUAUUCUAUUGAGCCAUUACCGACCUACCGGGAUCAUAUUUGCCUUCACGAAUGAGUGAGUUUUCAAUUUACCUGUCACAAAGGCAUUUAGUUAAAAUUUGUAACUGUAUCAGUCAAAAUAUGCUGUGAAAGUUCUAUUCAUUAGCAAGUACUUUGAUUGCCAUGCAGUAAGAGCAUACAACGGAGAUUGGCUUUGUAUCAAGGCGUAUGUCCAAUAUAUACAUGGAGUUCACAGAAGAUUCUGAAACAAGCUUUAGCAAUGCCUUGACUGUGCUGAAGGUGAUGUUUUGCUGCAGAUUUCCUAAAUUUAUGGCGACGUAUGCUAUUCAACCAUGCCAGCACUGAUGGUUCAUUUUCUGUUGUUCUGUUUGCAGGAGCAAGGAUUGGUAAAGGCAGGAGAAGAGGUCGCACUCGUUCAAAGUGGCAGGCAACCCAUUUGGCGGCUCCAAUCCACUCACAAAAUUCAAGUGCGCAAAAUUUAGGUGCAACGGAGAUGGAAUAAUCGCCCUCGUAACAUAGAUUUCUUCGUCUACACUACAAAAGUUUCAAAUGAUAGCUUUUGUGUUGUACUUCCAGCGGAAUUGUCGUGAUACUUUCUUCCUUUGGUUGUUUUUUUUCUUCUGUUGCACACUUUUGUGAUCCUAUCAAUGUGCUUCUUUUUGUUUCCGAUUUCCCCCUAGUUAAUUUUGGCGUAUGUUUUAGAACUGUAAGUUGUUAAAGUAUAAAUUUGGCAGUUUGAAUGCAAACUGUCUAAAUUUUUUUAAUAGUUCGAUUGAGGAAACAGAUCGUCACACUCACAUUCUAAUAUCCGCCGCUUACCGUUUGUCGUGUGGCCGUUUAACACUGACUAAGGUAGAUCUCACAUCAGAUCAGCACGGGACUAGGUUCCGUGCUCUUGUGAAAGUUAUUCUACGUACGACGUGAUUCUACACAUGGUUUGUGGUUUGGGCUUGAACCGGUCUCUACGAAAUGAGGCAGAUUUUUUGUUUAUUAACAAAGGUCAAAAGUCAAACAAAAAUUGUUGAUACAGACUAUCUUAAACAAAAUUAAACAACAUUCGCUUGAAUAAUUAUCAAAUUGACAAUGUCUCAUAGGUGAUGCUGUCCAUACACUCUUUUUAUUUUUCACUCACUCCUCCCAAUUUUUAACCGUCAGAUCGAAUAAAUUAAAGAUGAUCAAAAGACAAAAAUUAACUGAAGAUAUGUGAAAGAAAAAACAAAAUGUAUAUAUAGCAUCACCUAUCUUAUUAGGAUAAUGACAUCCGAUUUAUUUGAUAUAAUCUUUUAGGGAAACCAAAACGUUGAGUUACAAAAGUCAAACUCUUCCGAUGAUGGAAUAACUAUAUCCAUUUUUAUCAUCACAAAACUCGGACCCUAACAUCACACCACCAUACUUCGACGACUUCUUUAUCACCAGUAGAAUUUCCGAAUUCAGCAAAGCAGCCACAAUAUACCCACUUCUGGCCACCUCAGGAGUGGCCGGCAACCCCAAAAACAUCUUCCCUUUCUAAUACAUUAAUGAUGUCAGUUGGCGUCUUAACAAGAUGGGAGACUUUGGAGUCGCUUUAUUGGGAUCUCCCGAGUACUCGGUACUCUAUGUAUUUUAACCGUUAAAUCUUUGUUUAAAAAUAUAAAAAUCAAAUUCUAACAGUUAAAAUAUUCAAAAUAUCCAUAGUACCGCUCGAAAUUUUUUGAGACAUUAAAUGCAAUCCCUCCAAGAAAUCAUCUCAAAUUUUUUUGAGACAUUAAAUGCGAUCUCUCCAAGAAAUUAUUAGAUUAUACCGUAGUACCAUCUCAGCCGUGGUAGUUUCAUCCAAAGGCUAGCCUUUACAAUAUGAGCUAGCCAGCCUUCAUGCACACAGUGCCUGCCAAUCAUGUAAAACCAUUGACAAUGAUACAUGACAAUUUAUUUGGACCUAUAACUUCAUUUCAUAACUACAUCAGAUAACCGUUUAUGUGCAACUAUAUUUUAUUCAAUUUCAAAAAUUAGCAUAUGCAAUGACAUGUUUUAUCGUAAAAAGUACAAGAAAUUUUCAACGUAUCACAAAUACAAAGUGUUAUACCACAUGUCAUUAUAUAAAGAGAAAUUUUUUAUAUUUUAAGUCUGUCUCCACUUAUAUAAUAUGUGUUGUACCAUCCGAAUUCCGGAUCAGUAAAAGAUCUCUCCAAAAAUACAUAUGCAUGUUUUAUUCAAAAGGUUAGGAAUGAUGCGUCAUCAUCCCUAACGCACUUUAUUAUAAGUAGUAUCAUCCAUUGAGGCAGAGAAGUUAAUUAGAUGCUGUCCUUAAUGGAUGCACUAUAGCCGUUGACAAUGUCAUACUGCCUGCCCCAGAGCAUAAUUCCUCCGUACUUGGGCGAUUUCUUAAUCGUUGGAAGAACUUGUGACUUGAGAGCGUCAGCAGGAAUAAAUCCGCCGCCCGGAGCGGCCUCAGGAGCUGCCGGUAUACCCAAGAACACCUGGGUGGCCGGAACCGAGGCCCAUUGGUUCCAACUGCUCAAAAGAGCGUCGGCAUUACCGUCUGCAUACUGGCAUGGGGGGUUGUUGUAGAACUGAACCCAAACGUAGUCAAAUAAACCGGUUUGGAUAGCGCCGUCUAGGUGAGCAUCCGGGAUCGGACAUUGUGGAGCUGCGGCUAAAUAGACCGUUUUUGCCUGUCCGUUGUGUCCGUUGAGUGACCUGGCGAGCUCAUCAUAGAACUGCGCACCACCCGCCUCAAUGUCGAAAUCAACGCCGUCCAAAACCGCGUCCCCAAGCGGGCGCGAAGCGGACUGACCACCUAAGAAGUUGUUCCAGAUGUAAUCAGCAACUUGCCUUGCAUCAUCAGCUGAAGUGAGAGAGUAACUUCCGGCGGCCCCUCCAAUCGAGAGGAGGACUUUUAUGUUUUUUGAUUGGCAGGUUCUGAUGUCGGCACUCAGCCCCGUGCAAGUACCACUAGAGGGGUCGCAGUGGCCGGCGAGGUUUAGGACAGGGGUUUGGUUGUUUCCGAAAGUAGUGAGGAAAGCUAUGUUAACAAACUGGUAGUUGCCUGAGUUGCAAGCAUCUGCUAGGGUUCCUUCAUUGCCGUUUUGGCCCCAAUACGUCGCGAUUCCGGCGGCUUGGGAGGACUUGCAUGAAGAAAUGAGGAUCAAGAGGGACAGCGUUAGGGCUAGGGUUUGUGUUUUGGAUGCCAUUUUUGUAUGUUUUUUUGGGUUGUUGUUCAAAGUGCUUGGGAGUGGACUUGUACUUAUAGGUGCAGGGGACUUAUCCGUUAAGGUUUAGGGGAAGAAAAGUAUGACAGACGUGUUCUGCGGGUUAGAAAUGGGUGCCAGUCUUCAGCUUGGAACCUCGUCAAUCAAGUUAGCUAGGGCCUGUUUAGUCCAAGAAGUUUCACAUAAAACGCCGAUUAAGUUAGGUCGGGUUGGAAAUGCUUUCUUCAAAAACUACUUACACACGUAAGCGCUUCUUAUAUUUUUCAUAAGAAUGCAAGUGCUUUUGAAAAAAAACACUUGAGCUGUUUCGUGUGUUUUUUUCAGAAAAUACUUUAAAUGUUUUUUCAAACUAAAAAUCCAUUAAAGCUCCUUUACUUGUUUAAGGGCACUUCCAAAAUCAUAUUUAAAGAAAAAUUACUUCUAGAGAGAAUUAUAACAUGCUAAUUGAGAGAUCCCGAAACUAGAAACUAGAUAGUUAUAAUGAAGCGUGACCUUAACUGCUUAAUUAAGUGAAAAAAGCCAUCAAAUUUGACAAAAAGUCUGAUGAAAGGUCAUAGCUGUAUCAUCUGUAGAUGAGAUAAUCAUGAAACAAUGUGGGGAAUCAACACAUCCUUAUCAUCGUCAAAAAAAAAAAUUCACUGUGCUGGAAGCACGUUCAAUUGAACGUUUUGGAAGUUUGUGGAUAGAAACCAAAUGGAAUAUGCUUGUAACCAAAAUUGCUGGCUGCUAUAUACAUCUUGGAUUUUAGCUGAGGUGGCCAUUGGCCAAGGACUUUGGUCUAAUCACGAUGCUUUAAUUUCGCAAUCCAAAAAAAAAAUUCAGAUAAAAUUUAGAACACGUUUUGGGAGUGCUUUCAAAUUACUGAAAGCGAUUUUAGAAAGAAAAAAAAUGUUUAUAUAACUAAUCUUUAAUAAAAAUGCAAGUUAAUCCUCCAAAAGUACUGAAACUAGUGCUUCUUUGAUAAAACACUUCAAGUGCUUUUGGAGCUCAAAAAUAUUAUCUCAAGUGGUUUCAGUCAUUUAAAAACACUUUCUAAACGAGUUAAUGACUCGUGUAUGGGGCAACAUUUAGCAAGUAACGGCUCUCAUGAAUUGGAUUGUGGUGAUGUGAAAAUGGGUUUGGGUAAGUUUAGUUUAGACCAGUCAGCAGUGUUUAAAAUAUCCACGACAUUAUCGAUAUUUUCGUUGAAAUAUCCUUAAAAUUAAGGGUCCAUAAGCAAAAGAAGGAUGAAAUGCAAACUUCACCCUAUAUCGGCAAGAUACAAGAAAACAAUGAAUAUAGACAAUAUGUAACAACUCGUCCCAAGAUUUACUGUAUAUAAAUGGUAUUUUUGUAUUUUCAUCAAGUUUGGGAAUUUAUCUUCCUUUUAAAAUUUGUUUUUGGUCUUAAAUGGUGAUCCAAGGGGACCCACUCCCCUGAUUUUGUCCCCGAGCCCUCUUCUCUCUUUCUUCCUCUCCUCUUCCCUUUCCCCUUUCCCGUAUACUUCUAUUCCUCUCUUCUCUAUGAUCACACUCACACCCAGCUGCACUCCCUGCUCGAGGAAGACGCAAUCACCAUCUAAACCACGUCCCUUUCCUCUUCCUCUUGCCUCUGUGCAACUCGGCGAAACCAAGAAAAUAACCUCCGGCAAGUCCGACGGCUUUCGAAGCCAUUUCCUGCCAAACCACGGCGCGUUGGCCGGCGUGCAAGGUAUCAAUCUCUUCGUCCCGUCAAGUACUAUAACUUUUCUUUUUGUUUCACUCAAUUUAAUUGAGUAUUGAAGAAGUUAUACUCAUUUGAAUCUUACCCAGUUUCCGGCGACCUCCGAGGCUUUCGAGGAAAUUUCAGGCCAAACCAUGGCGAGUCAGACGUGAGGUAUCAUUCUCUUCGUCUCUUCCAGGACUACAACUUUCGUUUUUGUCUCGCUUGAUUUCGUUGAGUAGUGACAAAGUUAUGGCUGUUUAAAGUGGGGUGGUUUUCCGGCCGAAUUUCCGGCCUUCUUCUUCCUUGGCAACAGGCCACCCGGCCUUUCCCUCUCCCUCGGACCUUAGGCCCGUGUUGUCUUAAGCCCAAAACCCUAGCCUUUAGUUUUAAGUUUUAUUAUUUGGUUUUAAAACCCUAAAAAGGGCCUUGGGCCGGUGGUUUUUAAAAAGGGCUUAAAGCCCUGUUUUUCUUUAUUUAUUUUUAUUAAGGCCUUAAGGCCUUGUGAUUUUGUGCCCGUGGGUGUGUGUGUUAGGUGUGUAUGUGUUUAUGCAUGCACAUGCAUGCCGUGUGUGUGUGUGUAUUUGUAGUAUGUGUGUGUUUGGGCUAAAGCCCAAACCCCAAUUCUCACCCUAAAACCAUUUUAACCCAAAAUCCUAGGUUCCUAAAAUCCUUUAAAACCCUAAACCCAUCCAAUCCCAAAUCCCCUAUUUUAUUUAAACCUAAACCCUAAUCCGGAUUUCAAGCCUAAAACCCAUUUGACCGUUGACCCCCGGUCAACGUUGAUUUUAGGGUUGACUUUUCGGGUUUUCGUCCGGGACCCUUCUUAGGGUAAUUCGACGUUCUAAAUCCGUUUCCAAUGUCCAUUUUCCCAAAUUCAAUUGUUAUUAUAUAGUUUUAUUUAUUGGACUCUUUAUGUGCUUAGGGGCAAUUAUUGUGACGUUUCCAUCUUCGCUAGUGGCACAGCUUUUGGCAACUAAGUAUUGUGAGUGGACCCCUUCUAGAAUUACAUGAUUUGAUAAUUUAAUUGCAUAAAUGAUUAGCAUGCCUACGAAUUUAUGAUUUGAUUUAUGUGAAGCCUGAUGAUUUAAUAUAUUGAUUAUCGUCUCGGGUUUUGGUGAGGAAUUAUUUGUUAGCCUAUAUUGAGCUAUAUUUUAAUAUAUCGUAUUUUCUAUUAAAACCAUGAACUGGUAGACUAUCUGAUAGAUGACGAUAGGAUGCUAGAACAUGUUUUUGAACCCCUCUUUAUAGUGUAGACGAUGAUCGGUAACCUAUGCUAUGAAGUGGUUUUUUUUAGAGAGACGUAACUAUUUGUGCGUACCUAGUAGACACUAUGCCGCCUGGGGCAAGGAACUGGUGUUGGCAUUUAGGCCGGGAGAAAUAAUCCCUAGCGAAAGGCUGAGGGACACGGAGACAGGCAGUGGGCCAAGAGGGAGUUAUCUCUGGCUACGGGCACAGAGACUGAGGUGCAAGCAUUGGGCCGGGAGUUAUAUUUAUUCAGUGAUCUUUCUAGCAGCACACUGCGUUUACGAGACGAUUUAUGAUGCGUUUACUGUUUUGAUUUCCGCGAUGUUUUUCCGCGUUAUGGCGUUUGAGAUAUUUUUGGCAUACUAGGAUUUUUAUUAAAUCCAUCACUUAUUAUGCUAGUAGUUUUCAUUUAUAUAAACUUUGGGGGUUAGUAUGUUGAUAAUUGUUUUAUUAUUAUUGUAUAUAUAAACUUGGUCCACUCACCUUUGUUUUGCGCCCCCAUUCAGGACUUAGAAUCAAGGCACCUAAUCCCGGCGUGAAGACACUUUCGCAGCAGCAUCUUCGGAUCCUCUCGAUGUAGGACUCACUCCUUUACUCAUUAAAUUUUAUCUUAAUUCUUUUUAGUGAUUAGAUUUAGUUGUAUGCUCUGAGCACGUUCCUAAAACUUUUAACUCUUAGUUUUUAAAUUCAUAACACUUACUUAUUUCUUAUUCUUAGCUUUUGUAUCAAUUAAUGGCUUUCGUCACCCUCGGGUGUCGGCCAGCAUGUGUCUUCCUGGUAUUCGGGGAAUAUCAGGGUCGGGGCGUGUCACAAUAUUUACGGAUUAAUUACAAAAUUUUGCUAAUACCUAUUGCAGAUUUCGAACUGUAGAAUUUUUUUUAUAAAUUUUUUCUUUAAUUUCAACUAAAUCUGAAUGAGUACUUACCCCAUUGUAAAUUUCCAUCGAAGACUUUCCAACUAUAUCGAUAUUUUAAACACUGGUUUAGACCAACAUGUUUAAUAUCCAGUGCAUGCAAAUAGAAUGUCAAAUCUUUUUGAAAAACUUCAGUAUGACUGCCACUUAAGGGCAACUAGCAUAUUAAAGAGACCAAUGCAAAGUUGGAUGAGACUAAAAUACAUAAAGUCUCAUGUUUUGGUGAGAUGUGGUUUACAAAUGAUAUAGCAUGUGCCCUACGAAAAACGAGAUCGGAUUACCUAAUUGAAGUUUCUCUAGCAUGAAAAAUUCAAGAGGGAUGUGACGGUUCCGGAAAGUAAAAAAUCACACAUUUUUAUUAAUAAUUUUUUUGUUCGAAUUCGGAAAUGUAUAGAACUGAACAAAUGGAAUAGUGGCUCAGUGAUACCAACAAUUUCAUGUUGCAAAUUACAAAAAAAAAAAAAAAAAAAAAAAAAAAAGGAAAUGUUUUACACAAAAUUAAUGACAAUUAGAGUUAAACAACAGAAACUUGCACUUUAAAUGGUUUUUUUCUGCUGCUUUUGGUAUGUAUAUGCUUUUUCCGCACCGCUGGCUACUGUAUUCUCGGUAAUUUUCAUCGUCAUCCCAGCUGCGUUGCGAGCAUGAACGUUUGAUUCCUGUCAUUGGGGUUUCACAUACUCUGUCAUCACAUGAACCUCCAUGAUCCUUCCUUUUAAACAGCUUUCGAAGUGGAUUUGACUUUGGUUUCAAUGGUUUCAGCUGUUUUGGGGCCCAAAUUCUCUGCAGAUCGGGCAUCCAUCUUGUGGAGUAAGCGAACCUCCGAGCCCUCUCUCUCCUCUCUUGAACUUCAAGUAACUUGCGAGCAUGGUCGUCCUUUUGUUUGAUCUCUUCAGCGCUCGGUCUUCCAAUAUCAGUUUUCAGCGGACGAAGAGACUCACCUACUGCUGGUAAUGAAUCCCAGAUUCUAUAACUUCCAUCCACUUCGACACUCUUCGGUUUUUCUUUACAGGAUCGAUUGCUAUCCUAACUGUUGAGUAAACUAUUAGGGAGUUCUUCCUCAUCAGCAAACAGCAACAAAUCCAUUUUCUUAUAGAUUUUGCGAACCACAUCUUCAAGUGUCUCACAGUACCUGAAAAAUUCCAAAUUCAAAGAUUAAUCUAUCUGCUUAAGUUAAUUUUCCAUCUCAAACAAAAAUUGAUUGCCCGCACAUGUACUUCCGGAAAACUAAUUCCAGGAACGGAUUAUUUAAGCAACAUCGUUUCUUCAAGGAUCAUACUGUAGACAUACACUAUUGGCACAUUGCAAAAGUUGUAUAAACAUAUUCCACACUCGUUCAGAAAAACAUGGGUACGAUGUGCGCAUAACUGGCCUAUAUCCUGUCAAUCUACACUGAUAAGGAAAGACACUUUAACUCAUCUAAGAUUAUAAAGACAACCACUUUCCUUAUUUAGCAUUGUUGCAAAGGUAAGUAGGACAUGAUUUGUUAGAUAGGUAGUAAUAUCCCACAUGAAAGUGGAACACAGUGGCACCGGAAAUGUGUAUUUGUUGAGACAUGAACGAUAGACUGAAUGCAGCGUGUGCUAUAUAGCCUUUCAGCGAAAGCCAUAAUGCCUCAGUAAAACAUCCAUUAUAUAAAGUAAAGAAUAAUUUCAAGGGUAGGGGUUUUCAACUGUGGUACAGAUUUAUUACCUGCUUUUUAUGAUCUUUUCAACAUAAUCAUACACUCCAGUCACCAAAGAAGCCCUCCAGAUGACAUCGAAUUUUCUCCAAAAAGGAGCAAAUCUGUUUUACAGACUUCUGUUUUGUAGAUUCAGCAAUACGUGCACCAACCUCUGAUUGUAGUAUCUCCAUCCGGAAAAAUAUCUGCAAUUCAUAUCGUGCACGAGCUGGCGCAAGGAGGCGGCGAAGCACGAAGCCCGGGGCGGCGAUGCCGGGUCGAGGCGAAAUGCGGGGAGGGAAUUGAGGGUUUGGGAGAGGGAAUUGAAAGUGGGGCCGGGGAGGUGGAAAGAGAGGGAGAGAGAAGUGGGGAGCUUGGAGGAGGAGAGCAGCGGAGAGAGGGAGGAGAAGAAGGGUCUGAAGGCGAAGAGAGAGGCGGAGAGAGGAGGGAAAGAGAGGAUGGUUUUGACGGCGGCGAGGAAGGCUGUGAGAAAUGGAGCUGGGUUUUGGAGGUGGAGGAGUGGGUUGAGGCCUAGGAGGAGGACGAUGCGCUGCGUUUUGCCGUAGUCGGCGAUUGGGUCGCCGGAGCUCCGUUCAGAUGCCAUCGCAUUUGCAGGAGGAGAAAGAGACGGACUUGGGUUGCAGAGAAGGGAGAUGCAAAUGUGGAAUUAAGGAACAGUAAACCGAAUACGCAGUCGUUUUAGUAGAAAAACGACGAUACGGUAGAUGCUUGAGCGGGAAACCAAAUUUUGGCUGUAAAGGAAAUGUUUUAGGCCCCGUUUGGGAUUGAGGUGAUUUUAAAAAAAGCCACUGUGAAAAAAAGCUGAGGGUCAUUUUUGUGUUUGGUAAACUGAAAAAAGGGCUUAUUUUGGAAGCUGCUGUGAAAAUAAGCUGAAAAUCAAAGGAAAAGCUGAAGCUGCUAUUUGCUGCUUUGAAAAAAAGCCAGUUUUUUCAAAGCACACAGAGCUACAAUGCUCCUUUAAUGAAAAGACACACUAUCAUCCUGAUUUUUUUUCCAAAAGCACUUUCACAAAAAAGUUUACCAAACACUCUACUGCUUUAUUUCACAGCCGCUUAUUCUCACAGCACAGCCGCUUAUUCUCACAGCAGCUUUUUUUCAAAGCACAGCAAUACCAAACCAGCCCUUAAUCUCAUGAAGGACCUGUUUGGACUGCAUCUAAAUUUGUUAAAAGCGCUUUUAGAGAACAAAAGAGCUUUUGACAUCAGUUGAAAAAAAAAAAAUAUUUAAAGUACUUCUUCACGUGAAAAAAACACAUGGUUUUUAAUGAAAAUUCCAACAUGAUUUGAAUGAAAGUGCUUUCAAAAAGUAUUAUGAAUAGAUAUGCUUUUUUAUAUGCUUCUAUGAAAAGUGCUUUUUGCAAACAAUGUCGGGCUCGUUUGUAAUUACUUUUAAAAUGGUUGAAAGUGUAUUUCGUAAAAAUAUUUUUAGAAACAAUAUUUAGUAAAAUGCAAGUGAAUCCUAAAAAAAACACUUCAAGAAUAGAACAACCAAAGGGGCGAAAACUGUAAACCUCAUAGCAACCGAAUUACAAUUCGAGAACAUACCCGUUACUGAAUCCCAAAUCGCUGGUUCCCAAGUGUAGUCAUGCACAAGCUCGUUUAGAACCAAUAUUUUCUCUAAGAACGAUUUCAAUCAUUUGAAAAACAUUUUUAAACGAACUGAUGUUUUUAGGAGAAACACAAUGAGGAGCAAAUGAUUCCUAGGCGAGAAGAAAAACUAGACAGAAUGUUAAAUAGCACAUUAUGUACCAAUUUUUCUUCAACAAAUUGGAACUACUGAGAAGUUUGGAAACUAAAAAGUAAAGAUUGAUUCUAAGGAUUCUAACCCUGAUGAUUGCUUAUACAGUCGAACUACUUGAAUAGACUGGACUACCGAAGAUAAACUCAUACAUAUACGAAUUAUUAAAAAGUGAAAGAGGCUCAUCUCAGUUUUUUUUUUUUUUUUUAGUUGAAAGAAAAAAAAGGUAAAACAUGGAGAAGAUCAUGAACAGUAAUGGGUUUUAGUAUAUAUAAAUAUAAUUUGUAACUGUAUCUGUCCAAAUAUGCCGUGCAAGUUCUAUUCAUUAGCAGGUACUUUGAUUGCCAUGCAGUAAGAGCAUACAACGGAGAUUGGCUUUGUAUCAAGGCGUACGUCCCAUACACCUCUUUUAUGGGUGAUGCUGUCCACACACUUCUUUUAAUUACCAGUCGUCAUAUAGAAUGAAUUCAAGAGGAUCAAAUGACUAAAAUUAACAGAGAAUAUGUAAAAGAUAAACCAGAGUGUAUGGAUAACACCACCCUAUCUUAUUAGGAUAAUAACAUCCGAUGUGUUUGAUAUAAUCUUUUAGGGACUAACCAAAACAUUGAGUUACAAAAGUCAAACACUUCCGAUGAUGGAAGAACUAUAUCCACUUCUAUCGUCACAAAACUUGGACAAUAACAUCACACCACCAUACUUUGACGACUUCUUUAUCACCGGCAGAAUUUCCGAAUUCAACAAAGCAGCCGGAACAUACCCACUCUUGGCCGCCUUAGGAGCCGCCAGCAACCCCAAAAACAUCUUCCCUGUCUAAUACAAUGAUGUCACUUGGCGUCUUAACAAGAUGGGAGACUUUGGAGGGACUUUAUUGAGUACUCCAGAGUACUCAGUACUCUCAUUUGUUUAAAAAUAUAAAAAUCAAAAUCUAACGAUUAAAACAUCUAGAGUAUCCAUAUAUAGUACUGCUCAAAACUUUUUGAGACAUUGGACGUGAUCCCUCCUAGAAAUUAUUAAGUUAUACAGUAGUACACUUCAGCCGUGAUACUUUCAUUCAAAGGCUAGCUUUAUACUAAUAUGUGAUACUUUCAUUCCAUAUUUGAGAGCCAUUGGAUAAGUAUAAAGCUAACCUUUACAAUAUGAGCUAGUUAGUUAGCCUUCACACACACAGUGCCUGCCUAUCAUGUAACCAUUGACAAUGAUACCCGACAAUUUAUUUGGAGAGAGGGUCCUCACUCAUUUAUUUGGACCUAUAACUUCAUUUCAUAAUAACUCCAUCACAUCAUUUUAUGUACCAUAGUUUAUUCAAUUUCAAAAAUUAGUACACGCAAUAACAUGUUUUAUCGUAAAAUAUACGAGGUUUUUUAGUAUAUUAGAAAUACGAGAUGAUGCACCACAUGUCAUUAUAUAAAUGAAGAGAAAUUUUUUUUUUUUUUAAAUGUGCCUCCACUUAUAUAAUGUAUUGUACCACCCAAAUUCUGAAUAAGUGAAAGAUCUCUCCAAAAAAUACAUAUGCAUGUUUUAUUCAAAAGGUAAGGAAUGAUGCGUCAUCAUCCCUAACACACUUUAUUAUAGUAGUAGCAUCAAUUGAGGCAGAGAAGUUAAUUAGAUGCUGUCCUUAAUGGAUGCACUAUAACCGUUGUCAUAGAACCUGCUCCAAAGCAUAACUCCUCCGUACUUGGGCGAAUUCUUAAUCGUUGGAAGAACUUGUGACUUGAGAGCGUCAGCAGGAAUAAAUCCGCCGCUUGGAGCGGCCUCAGGAGCUGCCGGUAACCCCAUGAACACCUGGGUGGCCGGAACCGAGGCCCAUUGGUUCCAACUGCUUAAAAGAGCGUCGGCAUUACCGUCUGCAUACUGGCAUGGGGGGUUGUUGUAGAACUGAACCCAAACGUAGUCAAAUAAACCGGUUUGGAUAGCGGCGUCCAGGUGAGCAUCCGGGAUCGGACAUUGUGGAGCUGCGGCUAAAUAGACCGUUUUUGCCUGUGCGUUGUGUCCGUUGAGUGACCUGGCGAGCUCAUCAUAGAACUGCGCACCACCCGCCUCAAUGUCGAAAUCAACGCCGUCCAAAACCGCGUCCCCAAGCGGGCGCGAAGCGGACUGACCACCUAAGAAGUUGUUCCAGAUGUAAUCAGCAACUUGCCUUGCAUCAUCAGCUGAAGUGAGAGAGUAACUUCCGGCGCCCCCUCCAAUCGAGAGGAGGACUUUUAUGUUUUUUGAUUGGCAGGUUCUGAUGUCAGCACUCAGCCCCGUGCAAGUACCACUAGGGGGGUCGCAGUGGCCGGCGAGGUUUAGGACAGGGGUUUGGUUGUUUCCGAAAGUAGUGAGGAAAGCUAUGUUAACAAACUGGUAGUUGCCUGAGUUGCAAGCAUCUGCUAGGGUUCCUUCGUUGCCGUUUUGGCCCCAAUAGAUCGCAAUUCCGGCGGCUUGGGAGGACUUGCAUGAAGAAAUGAGGAUCAAGAGGGACAGAGUUAGGGUUAGGGUUUGUGUUUUGGAUGCCAUUUUUGUAUGUGUUUUUUUGGGUUGUUGCUCAAAGUGCUUGGGAGGGGACAUGUACUUAUAGGUGGAGACUUACUGGUUAAGGUUUAGGGGAAGAAAAAUAUGACACACGAGUUCUGCUUGUAAGAAAUGGAUGCCAGUCUUCUGCUUGUCAAUCAAGUUAGCUAGGGCCUGUUUGGUCGAAGUUUCACAUGAAACGUCGAUUAAGUUAGGUCGGGUUGGAAAUGCUUUCUUCAAAAACCACUUACACACGUAAGCUCUUCUUAUAUUUUUCAUAAUAAUGCAAGUGCUUUUGGAAAAAACACGAGAGGUGUUUCGCAUGUGUUUUUUUCAAAAAGCACUUCAAAUAUUUUUUCUACCUAAAAAUCCAUUAAAGCUCCUUUACUUGUUUUAAAGAAACUUCCAAAAUAAUAUUUAAAGAAAAAUUACUUCUAGAGAGAAUUAUAACAUGCUAAUUGAGAGAUCCCGAAACUAGAAACUAGAUGGUUAUAGUGAAGCGUGACCUUAACUGCUUAAUUAGGUGAAAAAAGCCAUCAAAUUUGACAAAAAGUCUGAUGAAAGGUCAUAGCUGUAUGCAUAAUCCGUAGAUGAGAUAAUCAUGAAACAAUACGUGGGGAAUCAACACAGCCUUAUCAUCGUCAAAAAAUUUUAGUGUUCUAGAAACACGAUCUGAUAUACAAAAUGUUUUAACAUCAAUUGAACGUUUUGGAAAUUUGUGGAUAGAAACCAAAUGGAAUAUGCUUGCUAGCUGCUAUAUACAUCUUGGAUUUUAGCUGAGGUGGCCAUUGGCCAAGGACUGCGAUCUAAUCACGAUGCUUUAAUUUCGCAGUACGAAAAAAAUUUCAGAUAAAAUUUAGAACAUGUUUAGGGAGUGCUUUCAAAUCACUGAAAGCGAUUUUAGAAAGAAAAAAAAUGUUUAUACAACUAAUUUUUAAUAAAAAUGCAAGUUAAUUCUCUAAAAGUAUUGAAAUUAGUGCUUCUUUGAUGAAUUACUUUAAGUGCUUUUGGAGCUCAAAAAUAUUUUCUCAAGUGGUUUCAGUUAUUUAAAAACACUUUCUAAACGAGUUAAUGACUCGUGUAUGGCAACAUUUAGCAAGUAAUAGCUCUCAUGAAUUGGAUUGUGGUGAUGUGAAAAUGGGUUUGGGUAAGUUUAGUUUAGAUCAGUCACCAGUGUAUAAAAUAUCCAUGAAAUUGUCGAUAUUUUCAUCAAAAUAUCCUUAAAAUUUAGGGUCCAUAAGGAAAAGAAGGGUAAAAUAUAAAUUUCAACCUAUAUUGGCGAGAUAUAAGAAAACAAUGAAUAUCGACAAUAUUUACCAAUUAACUACAAAAUGUUGCUAAAACCUAUUGCAGAUUUUGAACUUUAGAAUUUUUUUUUUAUAAAUUUUUUCUUUAAUUUCGACUAAAUCUGAAUGAGUUGAUACUUGAUAUGCUUAUCCCAUUGUAAAUUUCCAUCAAAGACUUUCCAACUAAAUCGAUAUUUUAAACAUUGGUUUAGACCCACAUGUUUAAUAUCCAGUGCAUGCAAAUAGAAUGUCAAAUCUUUCAGAAAAACUUCAGUAGGACUGCCACUUAAGGGCAACUAGCAUAUUAAAGAGACCAAUGCAAGGUUGGAUGAGACUAAAAUACAUAAGAGCAAUUCCACCGGGGACCAAAUGUCCCAGCCUCCAGUCCAAAAACCAAGCCAGGCCUCUGUCAAUCAAGUCCACCCCAACAAACUGACUGGUACCCAGCCCGAGUUGGGCAAGAGCCCAGCCCAAAAGAGACUGAGACAGAAGCCGGGGAAGAAGCCUGGCGCGUGCACUUCACGUAGCCGUUUGGCGAGUGCCCGACAAGCUUUCAGACGCCGGGGCCCGCGUGCAGGCGCUGUCAGUCCCCCCCCCGAGUUGCGACGUGGCUACCUCUCUGCCGUUGGAUUUCCAACGGCUAGUUUUCUAGACCGUUGGAUUUCCAACGGUAAAAAAAUUUUAAAUUUUACUUUUAAACUAGACCGUCGGAUCAAAGAUCAACGGUCCACGUUUUUUUCACAAAAAGUAAAUUAAAAAAAAAAAAAAAGGGCCCAACGGUCAGAAAUAUGACCGUUGGCCACGUGGCAACUCCCUAGCUCUUGGAUUUGAAUAUUUUUCAAAUCCAACGGUCCAGAUUAAUUAACUAUAUUAAAAUUCAUUAAAAAUUAUUAAAAAAUACAGAAAAAUUAUUAAAAAAUACAGAAAAUUUUAAAAAAAUUACAGAAAAUUUUGAAAAAUGUUAAUUUUUUUUCCUAUAAAUACCUAACCCUCAUCUUCUACCUUUACACCACAUUCCAAUAUUUUCUACACUUUCUAUACUAUCUACAUUUCAAAAUAUUUUCUACACUUUAAGAGAAAAAAAAUGUCUUCGUGGAAGCUCAUUGAAGAUGUUACGUUGUGUGAAUGUUGGGUUCACACUACUCAUGAUCCGAUUACGGGUAAUGAGAUGGAUAAGCGAGAGAUGUGGAGUAAAAUUACGAAAGCGUUUUGUGAUGUACAUGGAGAAAACGCCAGAACUAGUCAAGGUCUUCAAGGUCGUUGGAAAAAACUCAAUGCAUCAUUUACUUGUUGGAAAAACGCCAUCUCUCAUGCUUCCGGUAACCUCCGUAGUGGGACAAGUUUAGCGGAUCAGGUGACAAUAUUUUUUAUUUAUUUAUAUGCAUUCCACUCACAUUAAUAUUUUGAUUUAUUUAAUUUCGUAUGUAAUUUUUAUCUUAUUUCUUAUGUAAUUUUUAUUUAAUUUCUUAUGUAAUUUUUAUUUAAUUUCUUAUGUCAUUUUUAUGUAAUUUAUAUGCAUUCCACCCGUAUUAAUAUUUUGAAUUUAUUUAUUUGUGUUACACCCGCAUUUUUUAACACUAUGUUAUCCCACUUUUUUAUAGACACUACAAGCUCAAGCAUUCUACAAUUCAAAGAACGGGAACAAAUCAUUCAAUAGAUUGGAAUGUUGGCAAAUUGUCAAAGAUUGCCCUAAAUACAAAAUUGUGGCAACUGGUCCAGAAGUUGUCAUGCACGGUAUGGGUCUACAUAGUUCUCCAGAACCAGACAUGGCCGAACAAGAAGCCGACACAUUUCAAGACACGGAAGGGACGGCUGAACAAGUGCCCGAGACCCAACCGACUCGUCAGUCCCUAAGGCCUCUAGGUAAAAAGGCGUCAAAGAAAAAAGGUAGUUCUUCCAAAAAAUGACUACACUAAAUAUAUGGAGGAACUUGCUCGCCAAGGUGAACUAAACUUGGCACGAGAAAAGGCUAGAGAUGAGGAAAAAGUUGCUGCUAUGGCAGCAAUAUUAGCAGCUACUGAGGCCCGUGAUGCGGCGGCUGAAAGACAAAGAGAAGUAGUUAAUCGAGAGAACGAGCUGGUUAGAGAAGCACUUCAUCGAGAAAAUGAAUUGCUUCGAGAAGAAAGGAUGGCUCAAGCAUCGUGAUCGUGACACUAUGAGCAAGUCUCUAGUAGGACUGUCUCCGAAUUCUAAAUAUUUUUUAGACAUCGGAAAAAGAGAUGCCAUGCGUAGGAGGCGUGCAAGAGAUGCGGAAACAAGUCAAGGGGGUUCUAGCUACACAAAUCAUGGCAACCAAGAUCCUAGCACCACAUAUCCUAACUCGAGAGACUUUAUUUAAUUUCUUAUGUAUUUUUAUGUAUUUUCUUUCUUUUUUCUAGUAGAACUUUAUUUAAUUUCUUAUGUUUUUUCUUUUUUUUAGGUUUGAACUUUAUUUAUUUUCUUAUGCAAUUUUAAUGUAAUUAUUUAUUUAAUUUCUUUUGUACUUUAUUUAAAACACAUGAAAUAAGAUUACACAUAAACUCACCAAAUAAAUUUAAAAACAAAACACAUUACAUAGAAUUACAUAAACUCACCAAAUAAACUUAAAAACAAAACACACUACAUAGAAUUACAUAAACUCACCAAAUAAACUUAAAAACAAAACACACUACAUAGAAUUACUUAAACUUAAAAAAAAAUACAAUUUAUUCUUCAACCACAAGCCUCAUUCUAAUUAUCUUCGCCUCCAUGCAAUCCCCACUGGUGCUCAAUCAAGUCAUUCUGGCGGGUUACGUGCCAGUAUGGCUCUUGCACAUUAGUGUACCGCUGAACGAUCAAUUCAUUGUAACGUCCAUCACGUUCCAACGGCUCGUGUUGCACUGGAUCUUCGGUCCCAUCAUGAGCACAAUAAAUACGUGUUCUUGAGUUGUUCAUCGGAUCUGGCUCAUAUUCAUCGACGGCAUCAUAAUCAUACUCAUCUUCAACAAUCAUGUUAUGGAGAAUAAUACACGUCAUCAUGAUGGAUCGAAGAGCCUCGACAUCAAACAUUCUAGCUGCAGCCCUGACAAUCGCCCAACGAGCUUGCAGGAUACCAAAACAACGCUCGACAUCCUUCCUACACCCUUCUUGACAUUUUGCAAAGUGUUUUUCCUUUUCAGUCUGUGGAUGUGGCACUGUUUUGACAAAUGUUGACCACCUUGGGUAAAUGCCAUCUGCAAGGUAGUAUGAUCCCUCGUAUUGGGUACCAUUAACCCAAUAUGUGCAUCUCGGCGAGUUUCCUUGCAGCAGUUCGUCGAACACUGGGGAUUGGGCAAGGACAUUUAGGUCAUUUUGAGCUCCUGGAACACCAAAAAAAGCAUGCCAAAUCCAUGUAUCAAAUGAAGCCACCGCUUCCAAAAUGAUGCUUUUGGCUCCUUUUCUGUCGCCAUAUGCUCCUUGCCACGCACUUGGACAGUUUUUUCCAAGUCCAGUGCAUGCAGUCGAUGCUUCCAAUCAUGCCAGGGAAGCCUCGCAUCUCACCCUUCCUCAGAAGCCUUCGCAUGUCCCUUGACGUGGGUGUCCGGAGGUACUCUUUGGUGUAGAGGGCUUCAAUUGCAGAGCAAAACCGCAUCAGGGACUCCAGAACAGUUGUUUUUCCCAUCCUCGCGAUCUCAUCCACUUGAUCUGCAGAUGCUCCAUAUGCAAGCAUUCGCAAGGAUGCCGUAAUUUUUUGCUCGGGAAUAAGACCUAGAACAUGAAAAGCAUCCUCUUUUUGCACAAAGUAUGAAUCAUUGUUGCAAAUAUCACUCAUGAUUUUGUUGAACAAAUGUCGUUGCAUUCUAAAACGCCGUCUAAACAUGAUCAGGGAAUAUGCUAUUGGGAAUAAAAUAGUCUUCCAAUAGAUUUUUACCUCGUUUUUCCCUUUUUCUAUCGAGGUUUGCAACACGUCUUGGUUUGGCUAUCUGACCCACGGCUUCCAUGACACGGCGGGAAUGUGAGGCCUUCUGCCUUCUAUGGUGAUCAUCCUCAUCCUCCUCCAUGAAGAAAGCCUCAUCUCCACCUCCACCUUCCUCGAGAUUGGCCAAUUCUGCCUGUUGUGCCAACAACCUUUGUUGUUGCUCUUGCAACUGCUUAUACACCCUUCUUGAAGAAGACAUUGUAAUAAGAACUCAAGAUUUGAAAAUGAUGAACAAGGAUUCUGAGCUAAAAAGAAGGAUUGAGCUUGGUGUGAGGAUGGAUGUAGGGAUGUAGGGUUUAUAUGGACAAAAAAAGAAAGGAUGAGGUUCUGGACAAUGCCACGUGGCACUACGUGAUUGGUUGAAAAUCUUAUCGAAAUCUUGGCUAAAUUAUUGUAAACCGGAAGUGACACGUGGCGUGUCAGGAUUGGUCGAGAAUAUUAUCGAAAAUCUAUCCACAAAAUAGUACGUUCGGAUAAUGACACGUGGCAUGACGUGAUUGGUUGAAAAUCUUAUCGAAAUCUUGGCUAAAUUAUUGUACCAUGGAAGUGACACGUGGCGUGUCGGGAUUGGUUGAAAAUAAUAUCGGAAAUCUAUUCACAAAAUAGUACGUUCAGAUAAUGACACGUGGCGUGACGAGAUUGGUUAAAAAUCCUAUCCGAAAUUAAAACUAUUUUAUUUUUUUAUUCUUUAUUUUAAAUGGGUUAAAAAUCUUAUCCGAAAUAAACUUAAAAAAAAAACACACCAAAUAAAUGCGCUGGGUGCUAGCGCAUUUUUUUAGGGGUGGAGAUGCCUUGGCCUAUUACUGUUCACUCCAGUCUAUUACUGUUCAUUUGAGUGGAUAAAUGCGCUGGGUGCUGGCGCAAAGUCCACAGGGGUGGAAUUGCUCUAAAGUCUCGUGUUUUGAUGAGAUGUGGUCUACAAAUGAUAUAGCAUGUGCCCUACGAAAAAUGAGAUCGGAUUACCUAUUUGAAGCUUCUCUAGUAUGAAAAAUUCAAGAGGGAUGUGACGGGUCCGGAAAAUAAAAAAUCACACAUUUUUAUUAAUAAUUUUUUUGUUCGAAUUCGGAAAUGUAUAGAACUGAACAAAUGGAAUAGUAGCUCAGUGAUACCAACAAUUUCAUGUUGCAAAUCACAAAACAAAAAAAAAGGAACUGUUUUACACAAAAUUAAUGACAAUUAGAGUUGAACAACAGAAGCUUGCACUUUAAACGGUUUUUUUCUGCUGCUUUUGGUAUGUAUAUGCUUUUUCCAUGUCUCGAUGUAGUGCCAGUUCACAGGUCAUCAUCCUGGAACAAUGCUUUCGAAACAGAGCCGCACGGCUGGCUACUGUAUUCUCGGUAAUCUUCAUCGUCAUCCCAGCUGCGUUGCGAGCAUGAACGUUUGAUUCCUGUCAUUGGGGUUUCACAUACUCUGUCAUCACAUGAACCUCUAUGAUCCUUCCUUUUAAACAGCUUUCGAAGCGGAUUUAACUUUGGUUUCAAUGGUUUCAGCUGUUUUGGGGCCCAAACUCUCUGCAGAUCGGGCAUCCAUCUUGUGGAUGAAGCGAAUCUCCAAGCCCUCUCUCUCCUCUCUUGAGCUUCAAGUAACUUGCGAGCAUGGUCGUCGUUUUGUUUGAUCUCUUCAGCGCUCGGUCUUCCAAUAUCAGUUUUCAGCGGACGAAGAGACUCACCUUCUGCUGAUAAUGAGUCCCAGAUUCUAUAACUUUCAUCCACUUCGACACUCUUUGGUUUUUCUUUACAGGAUUGAUUGCUAUCCUCACUGUUGAGUAAACUAAUAGGGAGUUCUUCCUCAUCGGCAAACAGUAGCAAAUCCAUUUUUGUAUAGAUUUUGUGAACCACAUCUUCAAGUGUCUCACAGUACCUGAAAAUGUCCAAAUUCAAAGAUUAAUCUACCUGCUUAAUUCUCCAUCUCAAACAAAAAUUGAUCACCUGCAUUUGUACAUCAGGAAACUAAAUGCAGGAAUGAAUUAUUUAAGCUCCAUCAUUUCAAGGAUCAUACCGUAGGCUAAUAUGCUAUUGCAGAAGUUGUAUAAACAUAUUCCUCACUCGUUCAGAAAAACAUGCCUACGAUGUGCGGAUAACUGGCUUAUACCCUGUAAAUCUACACUAAUAAGGAAACACACUUAACUCAUCUAAGAUUAUAAAGAUAAUCACUUUCCUUUUUUAGCAUUAUUGCAAAGGUAAGUAGGAGAGCAUUGGAUGGGCAGUAAUAUCCCACAGGAAAGUGGAAACAGUGGCACCGGAAAUGUGUAUUUGAUGAGACAUGAACGGUAGACUGAAUGAGUGUCGAGAAAGCCAUAACGACUCGGUAAAACAUCCAUUAUAUAAAGUAAAGAAUAAUGCGAAAGGCAGGGGUUUUCAACUCUGGUACAGAUUUAUUACCUGCUUUUUAUGAUCCUUUCAACAUAAUCAUCUACACUCCAGUCACCAAAGAAGCCCUCCAGAUGACAUCGAAUUUUCUCCAAAAACGAGCAAAUCUGUUUUACAAACUUCUGUUUCAUAGAUUCUGCAAUACUUGCACCAACCUCUGAUUGUAGUAUCUCCAUACGGAAAAAUAUCUGCAAUUCAUAUCUAGUACUAGGUGAAGGAAAAGUGUAAAUGUAAUUGGAGACAAAUUUUCAUAUUGGUAGAGUUAUAACUGGAUUAAUGCAUAAUACAGAAGACAGUUCAGUUAUAAAUGAGAAAGGAUACUCUCGAACUAUUUUUCCAGAAGUCAGUCCUUCAGAUUCUGAAUCGGAUGCUUUAACAAACGGGCCGGAGCUUUUCUGCCUUGCAGUGAUAUCCUUGGGAUCUCUCAGUAGAAGUUUUAACACCUCAGCAGAAACCAAAUCAUCAGUAGCACCAGAUUUUACAAGGGAAGUUUGACUCUCUGAAAGGGCUUCUGUUUCCUGCUUUUUAUUUAACCAAUAUAUGGAUGAAUUCACAAGCCGAUAUGCCAAUGCCCCCAAGUCUACUGCUUCAUAUUCAAGCCCCUGUUGUAUCUUGUUGGAUAGACUACUGAAAAAAUCUUCCGACGUUUCUGAUCUAAAUUCCAAAGCAGCUUCAUCUUGUAUGCCAGAAGCCACAGUCAAAGAAUUUUCUCCAAUGGAAGGAGAUGAAGAAAUUGGCUGUUCACUUUCAUGGUGCAAGUUAUCCAACCUAUUGUCCAUCCCUUUUCUAUUGAGCUGGUCUGCCUGGGAUUCUUUCUCCACUAUUAGACCACGAUCGCUAGACUUCUUAAUUUGUUUCAUCCAGCAUUUCAGAAAUCGUAUCUUUUUUGAGUUAUAACAUUCCCUGGCAAAGUAAACCUCUUCCAAACCUAUCUCUGAGUGUUCAAAUGCUGCCUUGUAGAAGGCACUCCAUGUGAGAUCUUGUAGCAACUGUGAAUUUCUUUUGUUAUUUCUCUUCCUUCCCUCCUUGCCUGCAGAAUGCUUAUUGGAUGGCCCAGUUUGGUCCAAAUCAGCAUUCGGUUCGCAAAUCCCAUUCUUCAUAUUUCGACUUGAUUGGUCUGCUUUUGCUCCACCAAUAUCAUGCACUUUUGUCUGAGGGUGAAAUCCUUCAUCCACAAUAAACAGCCGAGCCGAAGAAACUGUGAAAGGUUUGAGAAUUCCGGUAGACGAUACACCACUGUCACUUGAAAGAGACACUAAUGCUCCAUGACCAUUCCUAUAUAAGAAACUCAAGAGAAUCUGCCAAAUGGGUGCUGACUUUCUCUUUGCAUUCUCACCCAAGUCCACUGCUACCACUUCUAGAACCUUAUCUGCAUAAUAAUUGCCAGAACUUUCUUUUCCAUCUUCACCAGGUUUUCCCAAAACAUCACAGACAAGGACUGGAUCAGAUAAGUGCCCCUUGAAUUUCAGAAACUCAUUGUACUUUUGCAAAGCCUUAACCUGGAACUUUGUCACGCCUUUGACAAAAUACCCCCAGAACAAUUCCUUCAGUUUACCACCCUUUGUUUGUGAAUUCAUGAUUUCUAGGGAAAAGAAAGCAUCAUCAGCUGCAUUUCUAGGCAACUUCUUCAAAUCAACCAAUUGAAGAUCACAAACCUUGCAUUCCAAAGGCUUCCCACUUACAUCUAAGAUCUCGAGACUCAACUGCGCAUUGACUUUCUUAUGACUAUCAUCACAACCGAAAAACUUGGAUGAAAUCCCUAUCUCGGGAUAAAUCAAACCAAAGGAAACAAGAGCAGAGCCAAGAAUAAUCCAACCAGUCGAGCAAAAUCCCCAUCCCAAACUCCUAACCCCACUCUCGAAAAACCCAAAUCUCGUCUUAUCCUCAUCGUUCCCAACCUUACCCUCACCACAUUCUAAUUCAUACCUGACAUCAACCCAGCUACACUGAAUAUCUCUACUCACAAAUGCUUCAUUCACAUUCUCAAAGAAACCCCUAAAUCUCUCGGAAAACGCUUUCACAUUUUCCAAAGACUCGUCACCCACACCCACUGUUAGGUCACAACUUCUAAAUUCCCUUUCUCGACCUGCUAGUAGCUGAUAGUAAUGGCGGUGAGUGAGUGGGAAGGAAGAUAGAGAGAGAUAGAAAGUUUCUUGUAAUAUUGUUUUUCUAAUUCAAUCCUGCAGAACAAUGCCACAAUUUGGUUCUUAUACAACCAUCCUUCUCACAAUGCCAGCUGGCUACUAACAAUAACGACAUGUAGCUAAAUAGUUUUCCACUAUUAUUCUAACCACUAUUAUAAUCAUAACACUACCCCUCCCUUACAAAAUAAACCUUGUCCUCAAGGUUAGAAUUAAAGACUGAAAUCAGGAAAUCUGGCAGCAAACUCGUCAUAAUCCUCCCAUGUAGUUUCGUCCUCUUUGUUGUUCUUCCACUGGAUUAACAACUGAACUCCAGCAGCUUGGCCCUUCUUGUAGACCCUCAUUUGUAGCACCUUGAGUGGUUCGAGUGGUAGCAACCCAUCAUCAGUGACAGUAGGCAAGAAUGGAGUUAUGUGACCUUGUCUCCCAAGUGCUUCUUCAAGCAACUAACAUGAAAGACUGGAUGAAUUUUUGAAUUCUCAGGCAGUUUCAAUCGGUAGGCAACCUUCCCAAUAUUUUCCAAAACCUCAUAAGGACCAUAGUACCGGGGAUGAAGCUUAUGGUAAGCAUGAGAUGACAAAGAUUGCAAUUGAUAGGGAAUUAAUUUCAAAUACACCAAAUCUCCUUCCUCGAAAACCCUCUCACUCCGAUGCUUAUCUGCUUGUGUUUUCAUCCGGUUCUGAGCUACUAGUAAAUUGGUCCUGAGCAUUGCUAAUAUUUUGUCCCUAGUUAGCAGCCCUUGCUCCACUAUAUCCAACUUAGCAGUGCCAAGCUCAUAAGACGCGAUGUGUGGUGGUGGAUAACCAUAGACCACUUCGAAGGGGGUGAACUUUGAGGAAGUGUGGUAGGAAGUGUUAUAGCUCCAUUCUGCCCAUGGAAGCCAGUGGAGCCACUUCUUAGGUUGACAGCUAGUGAAGCAUCGCAAGUAAGUUUCAAGGCACCGAUUCACCACCUCUGUCUGGCCAUCACUCUGUGGAUGGUAACCCGAGCUCAUACACAACUUGGAGCCUUGCAACUUAAAAAAAUUCUUUCCAAAAAACACUCAUGAAAAUGGUGUCCCUGUCACUCACAAUGGUAGAGGGCAUCCCAUGGAGUUUAAACACAUUAUCAACAUAUUCCUGAGCUACCAUGCUUGCCGUAUACGGAUGUGCUAAGGGGAUGAAAUGAGCAUACUUGGACAGCCUGUCUACGAUUACCAGGAUCACUGAUUUGCCUUUGCACAGAGGUAAACCAGUGAUGAAAUCCAUGCUUAUAUCCUUCCAUACAUGUGUAGGGAUCGGCAGAGGUUGAAGUAAUCCGGGAGGGGAAAUGGUUUCAUACUUAUUUUGCUGGCAUUCCCGACAUUCAGCCACCCAUGACCUGAGAUCUUUCUUCAUUCCUACCCAAUAGAAGCCCCUCUUCAAUAUCUGAUAAGUCUUUAGAACCCCUUUCAUGGCCUGCACUUGGAGAAGAGUGAUGUUCCUCAAAGACCUUCCUUUUCCAACUUGAAUCUGGGCUAAGCACGAUCCGUCCUUUGUAUUUGAGGAAACCGUUGUCUAAAUGGUACUUGGACAGAUUGGGGUCAAUUGCAGCAGCUUAAGAAUAUGCUAACACCUUCUGCACCUUGCUUUGAAUCCAACUAUCUUGUUCUAACCCUCUCCGAAGUUCAUCUAGCCACCCGAAGUAGGGGUAUGUGAUAGCUUUGCACUCCAAUAAGUCACUGAGAGGUUUCUCUUGUAAUUGAGACGAACCAACUACUCGAGAUAAGGCAUCAGCCAUUAUGUUGUCAUUGCCUUGCCUAUAUUGUAUCUCAUAAUCAAAUCCCAACAACUUGGCCACCCAUUUCUGUUGGAACGGGGUAGUAGUUCUUUGACUCAGAAAGUAUUUCAAGCUGCUAUGAUCUGUCUUUAUGAUGAAAUGGCGCCCUUGAAGGUAGUUUUGCCAUUUUUUGAUAGCACUAACAAUGGCAAUCAACUCUCUUUCGUAUGUAGACAAUGCUUAAUUCCGUGGUCCCAAUGCUUGACUUGUGAAAGCUAUAGGUCUGCCAUUCUGUUGCAACACAGCCCCUAUUCCAUUGCCAGAUGCAUCACAUUCCAAAGUGAAGGGAAUAGCAAAAUUGGGUAAGGCUAAUAGCUGCGGAGAAGUCAUUGUUCUUUUUAAUGCUUGGAAAGCUGCCGUGGCUUCAGGGGACCAAUUGAAACCAUCAUUUUUUGUUAGUUGAUACAAGGGUUGACACACCUUGCCAUAACCGGGGAUGAAUUUUCUAUAAUACCCUGAGAGCCCGAGAAAUCCCCUCAACUCUUUGACAUUUUUCGGUAUCGGCCAAUCUAUAAUUGCUUGAAUUUUAGUAGGAUCUGCAGCCACCCCAUCACGAGAGACGAUGUGCCCCAAGUAUUCCACCUGUGAUUGGCCAAAAGAGCAUUUCGAUUUCUUCACUGCUAAUUGGUGUUUCUGUAAUAACUCCAAAGUUUGGUGCAAGUGUGAAAGAUGGUCCUCCCAGGUCUUGCUGUACACCAAAAUGUCGUCAAAGAACACCAAGAUGAAUUUCCGGAGGUAAGGCUUAAAAAUGUCAUUCAUAAGGGCUUGGAAAGUGGCAGGAGCAUUUGUAAGACCAAAGGGCAUGACUAAGAAUUCAUAAUGCCCUUGGUGAGUUCGGAAGGCAGUCUUUUCCACAUCGGAGGGACAUACGGAUCUGAUGAUAUCCAGACCUAAGAUCAAGCUUAGAAAAAUACUGAGCGCCAUGCAAUUCAUCUAACAAAUCAUCCACUAAUGGAAUAGGAUAUUUAUCCUUAAUGGUAAUGCUGUUCAAUUCACGAUAGUCCAUGCAAAGCCUCCAAGUGCCCUCCUUCUUCUUGACCAAGAGAACUGGAAAUGAAAAGGGACUAUGACUUGGCUGGAUGAAUCCAGCAUCUAAAAGUUCUUGCACAGCUCGUUCAAUCUCAGUUUUUUGCAUAGGACCAUAAUGGUAUGGUCUAAUACUCGGAGGCUUGGAACCAGGAAGCAAUGGAAUCUGGUGAUCAUGAGCCCGUGGAGGUGGUAAGGUAGUAGGAGGCUUAAAAACCGUUUCAAAUUGCCUGAGCAUACCCUGCAGCUCAAUGAGUUGCUGGGGAUUCAAGUUGGAUGCCUCCAACGGAUUAGUUUCCAUUGAAUACAAUAAGACGCCCCAAUUAGAGUAUUUAAACUCUUUUUCAAGCUGUUGACAAACAGUAUCCUGUACCAAGUACGCUGGAGCAGUGGAAUGAACAAGUUUAUAGUGGUCUUUUCCCACAGAAAAUUCCAUGGUUAAGUUGUGAAAAUCCCACAAAACUGGACUCACAGAUGAGAGCCAUUUCACACCCAAUACAACAUCGCAACCCCCUAGAGGAAGUGCGUAGAGGUUAGUGUGGCAGCGAUAUGCACCCAAUUCCAAGGGAAUUUGUUGGCAACAGCCUUGACUUCGGACUUUACCCCCAUCGGCAAUCAUGACAUCGAAGGGUUUGGUGGUGUGACAAGGCCACCCGAGCUGCUUAAGCAACCUAGAAUCCACAAAAUUGUGGGUGCUACCAGAGUCAAGUAGUAUGGUAACAGGUAGAGUGUGAAGCACACCAGCCACUUUCAUGGUUUGUACCGUGGAGGGCUCAGUAGUGCCAUAGAACGCACAAGCACUCAACUCCAUGCUUGAUAGGGAAAGAUCAAUAGGCUCCAGUAAUUCACACUCUGUAGGUUCCAGCAAUUCACACUCGGUAGGCUCCAACUCAUUACAAACAUCAAGCAUAAGGAGCUGUUUAUUAUGGACACAUUUGUGCCCUCGAACCCACUUUUCAUUACAGAACCAACACUCGCCCUUGUCCUUCUUCCGUUGAACUUCCUCGGGGGUAAGUUUCUUAUAAGGGAGGGUUUGAGGAUGAGGCCUGGUAAGGGAAGGUAGAGGUAAGGCGAGAGGAGGUUUGAGUGGGGGAUGAGGUUUUGGGGGAGAUGGUUUCAAGUCCGUGAGUUUAGCAUUUAAUUGGGCAGCAAAGGAAAUGGCCUCAUGAACUGAGGAAGGGCGAAGCAAUUUAACAUCGUAACGCAAUUCCUUCUUGAGACCCCCCAGAAAGCAACUCUUUAAGAGAAUAGGACCAACAUCAUAGGUUCGAGUGGCAAGGCGCCGAAAUUCCACAAUAUAAUCACGAAGAGGGCCGGUUUGGCGGAGUUUGAAUAGCGACUCAGUGCAGUCCUCAAACUCCGGUGGACCAAAUUCCUGGCACAAAGCAGUCGUGAAUUCACCCCAGGUGGGAGUGGAAUGUACACAAUCGCGCCAACGAAACCAGUACAGCGGCUCAUUCUUGAAGUGGAAGGAGGCGGUCAAAACCUUCUGAUUCUCCGGAGUGUGAUAAUAAGCAAAAUAUUGUUCGGCCUUAUAGAUCCACGCUGAGGGAUCAUCACCGUCGGAGAAACGGGGAAAAUCCAGACGAUGUGACCGCUGCGGGCGAGGAGUAAAACCGCCGCCUUCAAAAGAAUCACGGCGCUGAAACCGUGGAGUGUCGAGACAACGAAAAUCGCCAUCAUCGGUCACAAUGGGAGGAGGAAUAUGUGGAUCUGGCACUAGAGGUGGUGGUGCAGUCGAAGAGCCAGCACCGCCUUGAGGACCAGGGUCGCGAUGGAGAUGCUCCAGGAGAAGGGCGAAUUUGGUUUCGAGAGCGGUGAAGCGGGUGUCGGAAUUGGCGUUGGAAGUCUGGAUCAGCUGAGGAAUGGCUCCCAUGGCUUCCAGAGUAGCUUCCACGGCGGAGAGGCGCGAUUCAACAGUGGACAUUCGAGAAUUUGUGGUGUGGCGGGGCAUACAAGAGGGAGACUCAGGAUCGAGAGGCUGAUACCAAUUGUUAGGUCAAAACUUCUAAAUUCCCUUUCUCGACCUGCUAGUAGCUGAUAGUAAUGGCGGUGAGUGAGUGGGAAGGAAAAUAGAGAGAGAUAGAAAGUUUCUUGUAAUAUUGUUUUUCUAAUUCAAUCCUGCAGAACAAUGCCACAAUUUGGUUCUUAUACAACCAUCCUUCUCACAAUGCCAGCUGGCUACUAACAAUAACGACAUGUAGCUAAAUAGUUUUCCACUAUUAUUCUAACCACUAUUAUAAUCAUAACACCCACAUUCGGGAAUUCUGUCAAACAGUUUGCAGACACACAGACGGGCGAAAACAGAACUACCAAAUUAGACCUCACAGCAACCGAAUCACUAUUCGAGAACAUACCCAUCAUUGGAUCGCAGAUCACGGGGUCCCAGGCGUAGUCGUGCACGAGCUGGCGCAAGGAGACGGCGAAAUGCGGGGAGGGAAUUGAGGGUGUGGAAGAGGGAAUUGAAAGUGGGGCCGGGGAGGUGGAAAGAGAGGGAGAGAGAAGUGGGGAGCUUGGAGGAGGAGAGCAGCGGAGAGAGGGAGGAGAAGAAGGGUCUGAAGGCGAAGAGAGAGGCGGAGAGAAGAAGGAAGGAGAGGAUGGUUUUGACGGCGGCGAGGAGGGCGGUGAGAAAUGGAGCUGGGUUUUGGAGGUGGAGGAAUGGGUUGAGGUCUAGGAGGAGGACGAUGCGCACAGUGCCUGCCUAUCAUGUAAAACCAUUGACAAUGAUACAAGACAGUUUAUUUGGACCUAUAAAACUAUAUUUAUGUAAAACUAUAUUUUAUUCAAUUUCAAAAAUUAGUACAUGCAAUGACAUGUUUGAUCGUAAAAAAAAAAAAAAUGAGAAAUUUUCAGUGUAUCAGAAAUACGAAUCGGUAAAAAAUCUCUCCAAAAAUACAUAUGCAUGUUUUAUUCAAAAGGAAAGGAAUGAGGCGCCAUCAUCCCUAACACACUUUAUUACAAGUAGUAUCAUCCAUUGAGGCAGAGAAGUUAAUUAGAUGCUGUCCUUAAUGGAUGCACUAUAACCGUUGUCAUAGAACCUGUUCCAAAGCAUAACUCCUCCGUACUUGGCCGAAUUCUUAAUUGUUGGAAGGACUUGUGACUUGAGAGCAUCAGCAGGAAUAAAUCCGCUGCGCGCGGCAUCAGUAGACGCCGGUAUCCCCAAGAACACCUGGGUGGCCGAAACCGAGGCCCAUCGGUUCCAACUGCUCAAAAGAGCGUCGGCAUUACCGUCUGCAUACUGGCAUUGGGCUAGGGGGUUGUUGUAGAACUGAACCCAAACGUAGUCAAAUAAACCGGUUGGAUAGCGCCGUCUAGGUGAGUAUCCGGGAACGGGCAUUGUGGAGCUGCGGCUAAAUAGACCGUUUUUCCCUGUCCGUUGUGUCCUUUGAGUGACCUGGCGAGCUCGUCGUAGAACUGCGUACCACCCAACUCAAUGUCGAAAUCGACGCCGUCCAAAACCGCGUCCCCAAGCGGGCGCGAAUCUGACUGACCACCUAGGAA